rnacentral:rRNA from 1 species
CCUACGGGAGGCAGCAGUGAGGAAUAUUUGACAAUGGACGAGAGUCUGAACCAGCCACGCAGCGUGAAGGAUGACUGCCCUAUGGGUUGUAAACUUCUUUUAUAAAGGAAUAAAACGAGGCACGUGUGCCUUUUUGAACGUACUUUAUGAAUAAGGAUCGGCUAACUCCGUGCCAGCAGCCGCGGUAAUACGGAGGAUCUGAGCGUUAUCCGGAUUUAUUGGGUUUAAAGUGAGCGUAGAUGGGUUGUUAAGUCAGUUGUGAAAGUUUGCGGCUCAACCGUAAAAUUGCAAUUGAUACUGGCAGUCUUGAGUACAGUUGAGGUAGGCGGAAUUCGUGGUGUAGCGGUGAAAUGCUUAGAUAUCACGAAGAACCCCGAUUGCGAAGGCAGCUUACUAAGCUGUGACUGACAUUGAGGCUCGAAAGUGUGGGUAUCAAACAGGAUUAGAUACCCCUGUAGUC